rnacentral:rRNA from 1 species
UACGUAGGGCGCAAGCGUUAUCCGGAAUUAUUGGGCGUAAAGGGCGCGUAGGCGGCCGCGUAUGUCCGGUGUGAAAGCCCACCUCUUAAAGGUGGAAUUGCAUCGGAAACUACGUGGCUAGAGUGUCGGAGAGGAUGGUGGAAUUCCUGGUGUAGAGGUGAAAUUCGUAGAUAUCAGGAGGAACACCGGUGGCGAAGGCGGCCAUCUGGACGACUACUGACGCUGAGGCGCGAAAGCGUGGGGGAUCAAAACAGG